CCAAUAGCGUAUAUUAAAGUUGUUGCAGUUAAAAAGCUCGUAGUUGAACUUCGGGGUUUACCCAUUGGUCAGGCUUAAUUGUCUGUACUGGUGAGAUGAAUCUCUACCUUUUGAGGAACUUUCAUGCCAUUUAUUUGGUGGGAUGGGAAAUCAGGACUGUUACUUUGAAAAAAUUAGAGUGUUUAAUGCAGGCUAACGUCUGAAUACAUUAGCAUGGAAUAAUGAAAUAGGACGGACUGAUUCUAUUUCGUUGGUUUCUAGGAUCACCGUAAUGAUUAAUAGGGAUAGUUGGGGGCAUUAGUAUUCAAUUGUCAGAGGUGAAAUUCUUGGAUUUAUUGAAGACUAACUACUGCGAAAGCAUUUGCCAAGGAUGUUUUCAUUAAUCAAGAACGAAAGUUAGGAGAUCGAAGACGAUCAGAUACCGUCGUAGUCUUAACCAUAAACUAUGCCGACUAGGGAUCGGACGAAGUUAAUUUUAUAAUGACGCGUUCGGCACCUUACG
rnacentral:rRNA from 1 species